CCAAAAGAACAAUAUUCUUUUCUUUUUCUUUUUCCAUCUCAGAAAAAGAAUAUCACAAAGAACUAUCUUCAAGGUUUAGAAGUUCUUGUCUUCUUGAAUCGAGUAUUGCCAUAUAUAAAGAUCCACAGUGAGAACAGAGAAGACCAGCUCGUACCCUCAGAAAUUCGUCUUCAUCAUCGAACAACAAUUAGUAGUUGAAAUUUUCAUCGGUAUUAGAUGCAAACAAAGAGAUAGUGGAGGUCAGCUCGUUUCCCUCAAAGAAAUUAUCAUCGGAUUGAGAGCAACAAGCUGAGAAACAAUCAUGUAAGAGCAAAGAAGGAGAGAGACCUGAAGAUGAAGCUUAGCAGAGGAAUUGAAGAGUCAAGCUUCAGUGAGAAAUUUCAAGAAGAUAGAUGUUGUCUGAGAUUAAUUUUGUUGUUUUUCCUUUCUCUUGUUUUGGUCUGGGCUAGUUUUGACCCGAUUAUUGUAUCUUGUGUUGGACCUUUCUAAUUUUCCAU